rnacentral:rRNA from 1 species
GAUAAACGCUGGCGGCGCACAUAAGACAUGCAAGUCGAACGAACUUAAUUUAAAAGUUUACUUUUAAAAGCGGUUAGCGGCGGACUGGUGAGUAACGCGUAAGCAAUCUGCCUAUCAGAGGGGAAUAACAGUGAGAAAUCAUUGCUAAUACCGCAUAAGCUGUGAGUAUCACAUGAUACAAACAGAAAAGAAGUAAUUCGCUGAUAGAUGAGCUUGCGUCUGAUUAGCUAGUUGGUGAGGUAACGGCUCACCAAGGCGACGAUGCGUAGCCGACCUGAGAGGGUGAUCGGCCACAUUGGGACUGAGACACGGCCCAGACUCCUACGGGAGGCAGCAGUGGGGAAUAUUGCACAAUGGGGGAAACCCUGAUGCAGCAACGCCGCGUGAGUGAUGACGGCCUUCGGGUUGUAAAGCUCUGUCUUCAGGGACGAUAAUGACGGUACCUGAGGAGGAAGCCACGGCUAACUACGUGCCAGCCGCCGCUGUAA